UUUAUCCGCUACAGCCUGACUACGGAGAUGUCUGCUUGUUUACAUUUGUAAAUGCCUCUUUAGGGUGCAGCCAAUGAGAAUGUGGGGUGGUGCUUGCUGGGAAGGUGAGCCCGUCCUGUUCUCUGCUUGUUGUCCUGCCGCAAGGUCCUCUUCACGUGCGAUCUUCAGGAUCUGUACCUGGAUGCAGGUGAGAUUCUUGAAGCUCGCCAGAACUGCUUCCCAGAGCAAGUGAUUAUCAAGUUGCUAGAUACCCUUCAAAACCAACUGCUCACUCCACAGCUUCUUUGAUAUUCUCAGAAGUCUUGAAAACAAAAGAUACAUAUAUUCAGCUUAUGACAAGAUGAGGCUAAAAACUGUCCUCCCAAAGCCUCAACAGCUGAAGGAAAACAAAAGAAACUGAUUUCUUCUACAAAUUCUUGGAGUUAAUGACUGAGCAUUACAAGCCAGGCAAAUUUGUUUUCUGCAUAAAGGAGUUACGAACUUUGGCAACAUCACUAGAUGCUGGGAACAAAGUAAUAAGGAAAGACCAUCAUCGUCAUACCUUGCUUGUGAGCUUCCAGGAGGCCCUGACUGACUACUUUUGGGAAUAGAGUGUCAUGAUAGAUAAACCUGGGGCUCACCCACCAGGCAAUUCUUCAGGCAAUUCUUAUGCUCUUCACCAAGAAACUGGGGAAGCGGCUGUGUGAAAAAUUCCCCCUGCCACAUGUGGAUAGAUGAAGUGGCAUGCAUGUCAUGGUUUCCAUAGGCAUUUGGUGGGCCACUGUGAGAGCAGGAUGCUAGACUACGUGAGUCUUUAUUCUGAUCCAGCAAGGCUCUUCUUCUAUUCUUCUGGAGCCACUCCAAGUAGAAAUGUUGUCCCAUGUGCGUACUGUUGAGUUGGUGAGCAUAGGACACAUUCUUUCUCAAGUACACUAGGUCAGCUAUUCUUCUAACAAUUAUGAUUUUGGUGAGGUACUGGGGAAGAGGAGCCCACUCAUCUCCUCCAUGAGUAUGUUCACAGCAGCUUUCACAGACAGCAGCAUUUCAGCCCAAGUGGAAAGGCAGCUCCUCACUCAGAGUCGGUACUCACAUCAUCUCAACUCUCUCCAGAAAAACCCUCAAUUAUCUUCACCAGUCCUUCCCCACCUCACCCAAAGGAAGGCUGCCAGGCUUACCCCUCUCCUAUUGCUAUGCAACAACGCACAACCAUUUUAAUAAAAAUCCAGCUCCUGAGGACUUUAUAUAGAUUUCUAGUAAUGUUGGAUUUCAUCCAGUCAUUCAUAAAGGGGAAAGGGGAAUUACACUGAACCAAAUGCAAUUUUUGCAGCCUGAUUAUUUUGCACAAACCCUUGGACAUUUAAUUUAGAAAUAAAUCAACAGGACUUAUUUCCAAGCAAUUAUGCAGGUUAGGAGUUUACCCUCCUGUGAUAUGCAACACCCCCAUCCUAUGCAUAUUUAUUUAGAAUUAAAUUCCACUCAUUUCAAUGGGAUUUGCUUUUAAGUAAAUGAGCAUAGGACUGCAGCCUAACAGUGUGAUCCUAUACUUAAAAGUCCCAUAUUAUUCAAUAGAUUUUCUCCCAAGUUAGUGUGUGCAGGAUUACAGCCUCAGUCCCUGUUGCUAUCCACACUUUCUUGGGAGCAAGCCUCAUUGGACUUAUUUCUUCUAAGUAAAUGUGCAUAGAAUUGGCCUGCAUGGCUUGUAAGAUUCAUCCACACUGAAUGUAUGUUGUCAAGUGAUUGCAGCUCUGACACUAUGAGGGUAGCCUUCCUAAGGAAGCAGCUGUAGCUGCUAAGUUCCUUCCUGAUCCCCACUUCAAUGGGGAUUACUUCUGGGUAGACCUGGUUAGGAUUGCAGCUUGUAAAAGGAAACAGGAGUUUUCCUAGCAUUCAGUUUACUCCUUUUUAUCAUUGCCAGGACCAGGCCCAACUUGAAAUAUCUUCCUUUUGUCUUUGUUACACGUGAGAAGAACCACAACUGAAUAGCACCUGCUUAAUGGUACUUUCAACAAAGAAAAGGUGGGAAAGAUACAUGUUCAUCCCCUCAAACUUUUAUUGAUACCAUUUUUUGAGAGUUGUAUUUGGGGGGGGGGGAGGACGAGCAGCCAGCUGCCUAAAGGAUCAGACUUGUUAUCUUCAGGGAAGGGGAUGCUUUCUGAUCUGCCAGAGGGCAGAAAUAUCUUGGUGUUUUUUAUUAUUGUGGAGGAGGUGGAUACUGUCGCUGAAAAAUCCUUUGCGGGUGUCUGGAGACUGUGGGUGUGAUAACCUGUUAAUAAAGAAAGAAUUAUGUUAAACUUAUAAACCUUGCUCCUCAAAAAUCAUGCAAUCAAAAAGGACAUGGAAAUUCAACAAACAUUUGCAGAUAUAACAAUUUGGAUCUAUCCCUCCAAUUUCUCUGACUUUUUGUAUUGACGCGGCCUGGGCACUCAGAGAGACGAACAAGGCAGACUCAGCAGCAGGUUUACUUAAAAGGAAAGUGUUUAUUGGAUAACUUUUGACCCACAGGUGUACGCAAUAGGGUGGAACAGGCUGUCUGGCUCUGCACGAACAUGGACCAGUCUGAACACUGAACUGGGCAACCAGGAACCCUUUUAUAGGAUACAUAUUUACAGCACAGUAAUGAGCAACUAAUUACUACAAAGGAUUAAGUCACGGCUUUCCCGGGCAUAGCCCUCCAGUGAUGGAGGCUCCUUCCUAGGGCCAUACAGCAUAACAAUAGCUGAUAAGCACAGCCUCUAGCUUCCUGGCAGGGAGUUAAUUGCUCCAAGGUCUACACUAUCUGGUUAACAAGGCACCUUCCCAGCAUCACACAGCACUCUUGGCAGAGCAUCAGACUGGAAUGUCUGUUAGCAACCUCAGAUUAGGCCCCAGGUGGCUCUGAGCUCACAUUGGCCGUCCUUGACCCAUCUCCCUGCUUGCUUAGGUGCUGAAUGCUAAACCCUAAAGAGAACUAAGGUGGGGGGGAAUACAAGCCCCCCAUGCCUACACACAGCUAUUCUGCUGGUGAAGAUGCUGAGCCUUUGCCCACCGGCCACUACACUUUUAUGGACACAGAUUUUGAGAUGAUUAACAGAAUUUUAGGCACAUGUCUCAAAUAUUCUUAACUCUGCAGUAGAAAUGAUUAAGGUGCCAACCUUGAACCCUGUCUCACACUCAAACCAAUGUAAUAAGGCACCUGCAUCAUUCUUGCUUCAUGAACAUUGACCAAGGAUUCCUUGGUACAAAGUAUACAAAGUGGUACUUGUCUGUGAAGCCAGCCAAAAAAACUACAAUGGAGAAAAUUAUGAUAGGUAUCAUGGUUCUUAUCCAAGUGGAGCCUACAUGUACCGGCAGUAUACUUCCAGGGACAAACAGCAGAGAUAAGUCAUUAUUACCAACAUGCCCUGACAGUUGGCUACUAUUUGAAACAGAACAUUGGACUACAGCAGCCUUCCCCAACCUGGCGCCCUCCAGAUGUUGUUGGACUACACCACCCAUCAUCACUGGCUGUUAGCCACGCUGUCUGGGGCUGAUGGGAGUUAAUAGUUGAAAACAUCUGGUGGGCACUAGGUUGUCUCCAUGUUACAGAGGCCUCAAUGGCCUCAACCAGAAGUUGGGCAUUUAGUAUCAUUGGUUCCCAUAUUGGAAUUGCUUUUUAAUGUGUUUUUAAACCUUUUUUAAAAAAAUGUUUUCAAAGAUUUUUUUUUAAUAUAUUUUAAAGUGUGUUUUUAUGAUGUUUUAUAAUGUUUUUAGUGCUUUUGUUUGCAGCCCGGGGCUCCUGCUGGGAGGAAGGGUGGGAUAUAAAUAAAUAAAUAAGUGUCCACAGUAUAUAGGCUGCGCCAUGAUACCAUGCUGAUGUAUUGUGAGAGGGUGGUAUGUAAACACCUUCAUAUAUAAAAUAAUAAAUAAAGUCUG